rnacentral:rRNA from 1 species
UUAAGUUAUUAAGGGCGCACGGUGGAUGCCUUGGCACUAGAAGCCGAUGAAGGACGUUACUAACGACGAUAUGCUUUGGGGAGCUGUAAGUAAGCUUUGAUCCAGAGAUUUCCGAAUGGGGAAACCCAGCAUGAGUUAUGUCAUGUUAUCGAUAUGUGAAUACAUAGCAUAUCAGAAGGCACACCCGGAGAACUGAAACAUCUUAGUACCCGGAGGAAGAGAAAGAAAAUUCGAUUCCCUUAGUAGCGGCGAGCGAAACGGGAAGAGCCCAAACCAACAAGCUUGCUUGUUGGGGUUGUAGGACACUCUAUACGGAGUUACAAAGGACGACAUUAGACGAAUCAUCUGGAAAGAUGAAUCAAAGAAGGUAAUAAUCCUGUAGUCGAAAAUGUUGUCUCUCUUGAGUGGAUCCUGAGUACGACGGAGCACGUGAAAUUCCGUCGGAAUCUGGGAGGACCAUCUCCUAAGGCUAAAUACUCUCUAGUGACCGAUAGUGAACCAGUACCGUGAGGGAAAGGUGAAAAGCACCCCGGAAGGGGAGUGAAAUAGAACCUGAAACCGUGUGCUUACAAGUAGUCAGAGCCCGUUAAUGGGUGAUGGCGUGCCUUUUGUAGAAUGAACCGGCGAGUUACGAUCUGAUGCAAGGUUAAGCAGUAAAUGUGGAGCCGUAGCGAAAGCGAGUCUGAAUAGGGCGUUUAGUAUUUGGUCGUAGACCCGAAACCAGGUGAUCUACCCUUGGUCAGGUUGAAGUUCAGGUAACACUGAAUGGAGGACCGAACCGACUUACGUUGAAAAGUGAGCGGAUGAACUGAGGGUAGCGGAGAAAUUCCAAUCGAACCUGGAGAUAGCUGGUUCUCUCCGAAAUAGCUUUAGGGCUAGCCUCAAGUGAUGAUUAUUGGAGGUAGAGCACUGUUUGGACGAGGGGCCCCUCUCGGGUUACCGAAUUCAGACAAACUCCGAAUGCCAAUUAAUUUAACUUGGGAGUCAGAACAUGGGUGAUAAGGUCCGUGUUCGAAAGGGAAACAGCCCAGACCACCAGCUAAGGUCCCAAAAUAUAUGUUAAGUGGAAAAGGAUGUGGCGUUGCCCAGACAACUAGGAUGUUGGCUUAGAAGCAGCCAUCAUUUAAAGAGUGCGUAAUAGCUCACUAGUCGAGUGACACUGCGCCGAAAAUGUACCGGGGCUAAACAUAUUACCGAAGCUGUGGAUUGUCCUUUGGACAAUGGUAGGAGAGCGUUCUAAGGGCGUUGAAGCAUGAUCGUAAGGACAUGUGGAGCGCUUAGAAGUGAGAAUGCCGGUGUGAGUAGCGAAAGACGGGUGAGAAUCCCGUCCACCGAUUGACUAAGGUUUCCAGAGGAAGGCUCGUCCGCUCUGGGUUAGUCGGGUCCUAAGCUGAGGCCGACAGGCGUAGGCGAUGGAUAACAGGUUGAUAUUCCUGUACCACCUAUAAUCGUUUUAAUCGAUGGGGGGACGCAGUAGGAUAGGCGAAGCGUGCGAUUGGAUUGCACGUCUAAGCAGUAAGGCUGAGUAUUAGGCAAAUCCGGUACUCGUUAAGGCUGAGCUGUGAUGGGGAGAAGACAUUGAGUCUUCGAGUCGUUGAUUUCACACUGCCGAGAAAAGCCUCUAGAUAGAAAAUAGGUGCCCGUACCGCAAACCGACACAGGUAGUCAAGAUGAGAAUUCUAAGGUGAGCGAGCGAACUCUCGUUAAGGAACUCGGCAAAAUGACCCCGUAACUUCGGGAGAAGGGGUGCUCUUUAGGGUUAACGCCCAGAAGAGCCGCAGUGAAUAGGCCCAAGCGACUGUUUAUCAAAAACACAGGUCUCUGCUAAACCGUAAGGUGAUGUAUAGGGGCUGACGCCUGCCCGGUGCUGGAAGGUUAAGAGGAGUGGUUAGCUUCUGCGAAGCUACGAAUCGAAGCCCCAGUAAACGGCGGCCGUAACUAUAACGGUCCUAAGGUAGCGAAAUUCCUUGUCGGGUAAGUUCCGACCCGCACGAAAGGCGUAACGAUUUGGGCACUGUCUCAACGAGAGACUCGGUGAAAUCAUAGUACCUGUGAAGAUGCAGGUUACCCGCGACAGGACGGAAAGACCCCGUGGAGCUUUACUGUAGCCUGAUAUUGAAAUUCGGCACAGCUUGUACAGGAUAGGUAGGAGCCUUUGAAACGUGAGCGCUAGCUUACGUGGAGGCGCUGGUGGGAUACUACCCUAGCUGUGUUGGCUUUCUAACCCGCACCACUUAUCGUGGUGGGAGACAGUGUCAAGCGGGCAGUUUGACUGGGGCGGUCGCCUCCUAAAAGGUAACGGAGGCGCUCAAAGGUUCCCUCAGAAUGGUUGGAAAUCAUUCAUAGAGUGUAAAGGCAUAAGGGAGCUUGACUGCGAGACCUACAAGUCGAGCAGGGUCGAAAGACGGACUUAGUGAUCCGGUGGUUCCGCAUGGAAGGGCCAUCGCUCAACGGAUAAAAGCUACCCCGGGGAUAACAGGCUUAUCUCCCCCAAGAGUUCACAUCGACGGGGAGGUUUGGCACCUCGAUGUCGGCUCAUCGCAUCCUGGGGCUGUAGUCGGUCCCAAGGGUUGGGCUGUUCGCCCAUUAAAGCGGUACGCGAGCUGGGUUCAGAACGUCGUGAGACAGUUCGGUCCCUAUCCGUCGUGGGCGUAGGAAAUUUGAGAGGAGCUGUCCUUAGUACGAGAGGACCGGGAUGGACAUACCUCUGGUGUACCAGUUGUCGUGCCAACGGCAUAGCUGGGUAGCUAUGUGUGGACGGGAUAAGUGCUGAAAGCAUCUAAGCAUGAAGCCCCCCUCAAGAUGAGAUUUCCCAACUUCGGUUAUAAGAUCCCUCAAAGAUGAUGAGGUUAAUAGGUUCGAGGUGGAAGCAUGGUGACAUGUGGAGCUGACGAAUACUAAUCGAUCGAAGACUUAAUCAA